rnacentral:rRNA from 1 species
CCUACGGGGGGCUGCAGUCGAGAAUCUUCGGCAAUGGCCGACAGGCUGACCGAGCGACGCCGCGUGGAGGACGAAGGCCUUCGGGUUGUAAACUCCUGUCGAGGGGGAACAAGGGCCGGUGCAGAGCCGGCCUUGAGUGAUCCCUGGAGGAAGCACGGGCUAAGUUCGUGCCAGCAGCCGCGGUAAGACGAACCGUGCGAACGUUAUUCGGAAUCACUGGGCUUAAAGCGCGUGUAGGCGGAUGACCACGUCGGCGCCUGAAAGCCCCCGGCUCA